AGGGAAAGGUGAAAAGAACCCCUGGCGGGGAGUGAAAGAGAACCUGAAACCGUAUGUCUACAAACAGUCGAAGUCUGUAUAUAUAUCAGGACGACGGCGUGCCUAUUGAAGAAUGAACCGACGAGUUACUGUUGCUAGCGAGGUUAAGUGGAAAACAUGGAGCCGCAGCGAAAGCGAGUCUGAACAGGGCGUUCAGUUAGUAAUAGUAGACCCGAAACCGUAGUGAUCUAUCCAUGGCCAGGUUGAAGCACAGGUAAAAUU
rnacentral:rRNA from 1 species